rnacentral:rRNA from 1 species
UACAGAGGUCUCAAGCGUUGUUCGGAUUCAUUGGGCGUAAAGGGUGCGUAGGCGGCGAGGUAAGUCGGAUGUGAAAUCCCGGGGCUCAACCCUGGAACUGCAUUCGAUACUGCCUUGCUCGAGGACUCGAGAGGAGAUUGGAAUUCACGGUGUAGCAGUGAAAUGCGUAGAUAUCGUGAGGAACACCUGUGGUGAAGACGGGUUGCUGGGCUGACACUGACGCUGAGGCGCGAAAGCCAGGGGAGCAAACGGG